rnacentral:lncRNA from 1 species
GCAAGAACGAAGGAAUGAAAGGACAGUUAUUCUCGAGUCGUUGCUAGAAGUUACAGCAACGAAAACUCUCACUUUCAUAGAGCACGGUGGAAAAUCUAAGCCGCAAGUUUUUGUAGAGAUAAUAUAAUCAACUACCUUAUGUUCUCACCUAGUUCUUUAUUGGACGCCGGUAAGCAGAGCCUGUAGAGGAGUGUCCAGGCGGAGAGAGGCACUCCCCAAAGAUUUAAUUAUAGAUUAUAAAUGAAGGGCUGAGAUCCAGAACAGAGGGAUGAGGCAAAGGCUGCUUAGUUCUUCACUAAACCCACUUCUCUCUUCUUCCAGUACAUUCCUGAUUCUCUGCCAAUGGCAUGAGGGUGGGUGUGAGGUAUGCUGCUUGCAGGGCUGGCCUGGAAACAUCCCACGUGCUUCGGGCCUGCUAGCCUGGGUCCCUGAGUGAUCCACAAUCAUCUAUGACCAGAGCUACAAAUAAAUCCUUACGUCAAGAAUUAAGGAGCUCCCGUUGUGGCUCAGUGGUAAUGAACCUGUCUAAUAUCCGUGAAGAUCUGGGUUCAAUCCCUGGCCUUGCUGAGUGGGUUAAGGAUCUGGCAUUGCUGUGAGCUGUGAUGACGGCUGGCAGCUGUAGCUCCAAUUCGACUCCUAGCCCGGGAACCUCCAUAUGCUGCAGGUACAGCCCCAAAAAGAAAAAAAAAAAAAAAGAAUUAAGUGUUAGAAGCGCCCUCUUGAUGUGGUGAAAUAGAAUCGGUGGCGGUGUCUUUCGAGCUGCUGGGACUCUGGUUGGCUCCCCGGCCCGGCACAGUUGGUUAGGCGUUGGUUGCUGCAGCUGAGGCUUAGGUUGCACUGUGGCUCUGAUCUGAUCCCUGGCUCAGGAGCUCCAUAUGCCUCGGGGUGGCCCAAAAUGACUGAAAACAAAACAAAACAAGAAUUCAGUGUGACAUCACUGAAAUUGUAGGGUUAUCUGUUACCUCCGCUAGCUUAGUCUGAUGCCAAGGAACAAAGAGCCAGGUCCAGUUGUGACCUUGGCAGAGAUGGGAAAGCAGUGAGCAACUGUCAUGAGUCACGCCAGAGGGGACUCAAAGCCCAGAGUAGCUGUGAGGCUG